CCUAUCUCUGGAGGUCUCUCUGGUGUACAGCCAAACAACAUGCCACCACAGACUUGCCAGAAGCAACACAACCAGGAGAAAGUCCUGCUAAAACAUGCAGAUAAUCAGAACUCUCAGCACCCAGUCUGACACGGAAUAAAGAGUGGAACUGAAGAACAUUCCACAAGAGUUCCAGCAGAACAUAAAGAGUGGAACUGAAGAACAUUCCACAAGAGUUCCAGCAGAACAUGCAAGCACUUCAUCAGGAGUGGCAGGGCCCUAAAGGGACGACACAUGGACUUCGAAAGGGAGGAAUCACAGCACAAGGUAAUAUCAUACAGGUCCUGCACAACACUGAACUAGCCACACCUUGCCGAGACAGAUACUACAUCUGAAACCAUGUCUUUUAAGAUAUUGUAUCUGUAAAUUGAACCGUGCCAUGGUUGUGCCAGAAAGCGCUGAAAUGAAAACUGAACUAGAAAGGAAAGUUCCCUCAGCCACUUUGUUUAGUAGAUACAGCAGAUAGUGAGUCAGAGGAUUAGUAUGACUUGGUGGUCACAACUGGAAGGUAUAAACCUAUAUUAACAAACAACAAUGCACAUUUUUGUGAGAUUUUUUUGGUUUGUUUCUGUAUAGUUUUUUUUUUUUUUGUGUUAAAUGGCUACACUAAAGAGUAUGCUGUAUAAUGAGGAUUGUGUGGCCAAUGGGAACUUGGUAAGUUUGGAAAUAGGUAGGACAAUAAGCAUCUGUCAAUAUUUAACUGACCGUCAGCCUGAAUCAACAAUCCCUUUUCAUGCUUAAUGUAUUUUACUUGUUGGACUUACAGUAAUAACUACCUUUUGACACCACUGUCAUGUUAACAAAUUAAAAUGUGUUAUGUUUAAAAGGAUAAUUAUGUUUAAAAUGAUAUGAGCUAUGUACUGUACAUAUAAUCCUAUAACAAGUUAUGAAUGAUGUGCUAAUUUUAGUGGAUAUUUAAUUACUUUGUUGCAAUGAAAAUUAUUCCAACAUACUAAUUAACAAUUACAACUUCCGUGGGCUCUAAUAAACAGUCAUAAUAUGCACAUAAAACUGUGUUUCCAUAAUGUAAGGGCGUAUCUAUACGUCUGGUAUGCCUGCAGUCAAUUAACUAAAGUGAGCUGAUUGGACCUGGGAACAAAAAUAAUUCACAUGAAAGGAAUUUAAAAACAAAAAAGGUGAAAUAAUGAAAUAAUACAAUGAUAAGGAUUAAAAAUCAUUCAUUAACAUUCUUUAAUAAAUGUGACUUUACAGAUGGAAUGGCAUUUCAGAGUUUAAAAUAAAAACUACACAAACAAAAAAAAAUACAAAAAAAAACAGACAAAAAAUGUAUUUUUUGCAUAUUUAUCACUGUUAUUAUGCAUGAUACUCAUGUAACCAGUUAUUUGUCUUUGUGUUUUUAUACUUUGCUUUUUAAGCCUGCUGCUUCUGUCAUAUUUCAAUCAAUCUGACCUUCAGCAAUAAUAUGACAUAUUUUCCUGUAAUAUGCAACACAUUCCAGUUAAUUUGGCUGAAGCUAAGUUAUAUAUUUGCCAGUGUAAAUGAUUGUGACAUAAUGUAUUCCUAACCUAAAAUAAAAUAUCAUAUGUUAUACAUGUUAUUUAUUUAUUUAUGCAAGUAUGUAUUUAUUUGUUUAUUUAUUUUACACAGGACAAAAAAAGUAUUAAACAGUCAACAAUAGUUUAGUUAUCUGAUGACACACAAAAAUGACAAGGGAUUAAUAUGAAUCUGUUUUACUUGGGGUAAAAUCAGUGUUAAUGUCUGAAAUACAAACGACUGAAUAAUAUUCAUGGAUAUUACAUUUUAAGUACUUGGCUCAUAAAUAGCAGCAUUUAUAACCUACUUGAGAGAAAUCUUUUUUGGCGAUGUACUCAAAUGGCUUACAGAAGCAACAACAUGCAAAAACGUUUUGUGCUUGAAGUGCAAAGAAAUUCAGAGCCAAGUAUGACUGAAGAUCUCUGCAGUAUGAAAAAAAGCAGACUCCCCUAAUGAGGUGUACCUGUCAUAUCAAAGGAACUAUUCUGGAAGUAGUUUAAUCAACCCAAACUAUAGAAUGUAUUCUAAUUAUUAUUAGUA